rnacentral:misc_RNA from 1 species
AGAGAAUUGGCCAUUGUUAUGUGCUGUUGCAAUGUAUAUAGUGAUACAACACAUUUGAGUUCCUCUUUUGUAAAGGGCCACAAGUCCAUCAUUUGUUUGAAUUGCUCAAGAUGAAUGAUGAUAACACAUGUAGUCAUAGUAGCAUGGAGAAAUGAAGUUCCCCAAUAUUGAAAAUCUUAGGAUGCCUCAUCUAGGUUAGAUGCCUCAUCUUGUAAACUCAA